UUUUGGUUUAACUACUGUAGUUGAACCCGGAGAAUACGGUUGGUUAACGAUGCUGGCCAGCACGGACGUGCGCGUGCUCGUUACGCCCACCAUUGACCUUGGCAUGAUCCUCACAUGUAUGCACGGUAUGCGUGUACCAAAGAGAAAUUGUGAUCUACAAUAUAUUAGCAUGAAAGUAUGUGUGUACCAGUAGUCAACCAUGUCUAUAGCUCCUUGUCAGGCAUGGUUGCGGCAAAAUAAAAAAGGAUGCUAAAGCACACGCAGCUUCCAUGUUGGCCAUGGACCUUGUGGUAUACUAUUCAUCGUCCACUUCUGUACCUCAUUUAUGGAUAUCCACCGCAUCAACUCAAGAGAACCUUGUCCUUGAGAAGCAUUGUUAUAGAUUAUAGGUGGGUCUUAUGUUUUUUUAAAGAAUAAGACUUCCAGGAUCAAAGACCACCAAGUUGUAUUCAAGAUUCACCAUCCCUUGCUUGGAAGAGCUUCUGAUCACAGUGCCCUCGCCUCUCAAUGCUGAGCAAAAGCUGAAUACUCUUGAAUCGCUUGUGAAGUACAGUGUCAACCUGCAGUCAAUGGUCAUCAGGAUCUCACAGAUGAAGAAUUGCCAUGAAGUACACAAACUACAACAAGGAGAGCAAGGCGGCUGUUGCCCUGAAGGUUCACUGGGAUAAAUAGCAAGAUGAGGAUGACAGUGCUAACAAAGUGUUGCCGACUCUUCUGGCUAGGCGAAGGUGAACUCAGUUAUCAUGGGCCUCGAGGUAGCAGGCGCGUGGGCACCUGAAGUUCAGAUAAAGUGCAUUCCUGGAAUAUCUAUGAAGGAUAUCAAAGUGAAGGAGUAAAACUCAGAAAUAAUGAUCAUCAAGAAUGGGCUGAGUUGCAAUGCACCUGGUAGAGGCUGGACAUCAAGAAUGGGCGACGUACGGGCCAAGAUGGAUUUUCAUUAAGUUAUAGUUGUGCAUGGGUCGAGUCAAGUAAAUCGGGCCGGAGGGAGUAUAUAUGUAUUACAGGAUUGAAUACUUUUUUGGUACAUUUGUAUAUUUGAAUUAUGUGCAUACAUUGCUGUUUAUAUUUGCAUGUAUUGUUAGAUUAAA